rnacentral:rRNA from 1 species
UACGUAGGGUGCAAGCGUUAAUCGGAAUUACUGGGCGUAAAGCGUGCGCAGGCGGUGAUGUAAGACAGGUGUGAAAUCCCCGGGCUUAACCUGGGAACUGCAUUUGUGACUGCAUCGCUGGAGUGCGGCAGAGGGGGAUGGAAUUCCGCGUGUAGCAGUGAAAUGCGUAGAGAUGCGGAGGAACACCGAUGGCGAAGGCAGCCCCCUGGGCCAACACUGACGCUCAGGCACGAAAGCGUGGGGAGCAAACAGG